GGAAUCUUCCACAAUGGGCGAAAGCCUGAUGGAGCAACGCCGCGUGUGUGAUGAAGGGUUUCGGCUCGUAAAACACUGUUGUAAGAGAAGAAUGACAUUGAGAGUAACUGUUCAAUGUGUGACGGUAUCUUGCCAGAAAGGAACGGCUAAAUACGUGCCA
rnacentral:rRNA from 1 species